GACAGAGGGUGCAAACGUUGCUCGGAAUCACUGGGCGUAAAGGGCGUGUAGGCGGGAAUGUAAGUCGGGCGUGAAAUCCCUAGGCUCAACCUAGGAACUGCACUCGAAACUGCGUUUCUUGAGUAUCGGAGAGGAAAGCGGAAUUCCUGGUGUAGAGGUGAAAUUCGUAGAUAUCAGGAGGAACACCAGUGGCGAAGGCGGCUUUCUGGACAGUGACUGACGCUGAGACGCGAAAGCGUGGGGAGCAAACAGG
rnacentral:rRNA from 1 species